rnacentral:misc_RNA from 1 species
GAUGAAGAACGUAGCGAAAUGCGAUAAGUAAUGUGAAUUGCAGAAUUCAGUGAAUCAUCGAAUCUUUGAACGCACAUUGCGCCCCUUGGUAUUCCGGGGGGCAUGCCUGUUCGAGCGUCAUUAUCACCCCUCAAGCUCAGCUUGGUGUUGGGGCCUGCCCGUCACAGGGCAGCCCUUAAAAGCAGUGGCGGUGCCAUCUGGCUCUACGCGUAGUAAUACUUCUCGCGACAGAGGCCCGGUGGUGUCCUGCCAGAACCCCCCAUAUUUUUAAUGAUUGACCUCGGAUCAGGUAGGGAUACCCGCUGAACUUAAGCAUAUCAAUAAGCGGAGGA